rnacentral:rRNA from 1 species
GCUCGACCGAGGAAGUGCUUCGAAAACUGGUAAACUUGAGUGCAGAAGAGGAAAGUGGAACUCCAUGUGUAGCGGUGGAAUGCGUAGAUAUAUGGAAGAACACCAGUGGCGAAGGCGGCUUUCUGGUCUGUAACUGACGCUGAGAUUCGAAAGCAUGGGUAGCAAACAGGAUUAGAUACCCUGGUAGUCCAUGCCGUAAACGAUGAGUGCUAAGUGUUGGAGGGUUUCCGCCCUUCAGUGCUGCAGCUAACGCAUUAAGCACUCCGCCUGGGGAGUACGACCGCAAGGUUGAAACUCAAAGGAAUUGACGGGGGCCCGCACAAGCGGUGGAGCAUGUGGUUUAAUUCGAAGCAACGCGAAGAACCUUACCAGGUCUUGACAUACCAUGAAAAGCUUAGAGAUAAGUCUUUCCCUUCGGGGACAUGGAUACAGGUGGUGCAUGGUUGUCGUCAGCUCGUGUCGUGAGAUGUUGGGUUAAGUCCCGCAACGAGCGCAACCCUUAUUAUCAGUUGCCAGCAUUCAGUUGGGCACUCUGGUGAGACUGCCGGUGACAAACCGGAGGAAGGUGGGGACGACGUCAAAUCAUCAUGCCCCUUAUGACCUGGGCUACACACGUGCUACAAUGGUCGGUACAACG